rnacentral:rRNA from 1 species
UGACCGCUGGCGGCGUGCCUAAUACAUGCACGUCGAGCGAACGGACGCGAAGCUUGCUUCUCUGAUGUUAGCGGCGGACGGGUGAGUAACACGUGGAUAACCUACCUAUAAGACUGGGAUAACUUCGGGAAACCGGAGCUAAUACCGGAUGAUAUUUUGAACCGCAUGGUUCAAAAGUGAAAGACGGUCUUGCUGUCACUUAUAGAUGGAUCCGCGCUGCAUUAGCUAGUUGGUAAGGUAACGGCUUACCAAGGCAACGAUGCAUAGCCGACCUGAGAGGGUGAUCGGCCACACUGGAACUGAGACACGGUCCAGACUCCUACGGGAGGCAGCAGUAGGGAAUCUUCCGCAAUGGGCGAAAGCCUGACGGAGCAACGCCGCGUGAGUGAUGAAGGUCUUCGGAUCGUAAAACUCUGUUAUUAGGGAAGAACAUAUGUGUAAGUAACUGUGCACAUCUUGACGGUACCUAAUCAGAAAGCCACGGCUAACUACGUG